CCUCCUCCUCCUCCAAUCCUGCUUCGCUCCGGAAAUGAGGGGGGAGCCCCCCUCCCAACCUGCCUGCUUCUCCCGCAAGUGGAGCGUCCACUCCGGAUUGCUGCUCUGCGGCGUAUCUGGGGGGGGGGGAGGAGGACGGGAAGAGGAGGAUCCCCGCCCAACGUGGAUGUUGCAGGAAAGAAAUGAGAAUCGGAGCGAGGACAAAGAGCCAAUGUCAGAGUGACUGACAAGCUGCGAUACAACCCAUCAUCAUCCAAUGACAGCGACUGCAUGAAUCUUCCCAGUCAAAGGACCCAUUUUCUUGAUAGACAGUGCCUGUGGCUGGAGGCUCUACAUACAAGGUGUGCCUGUGGAGGCCAAAGAGUGUCAGUAUUAGCACAGGUGAGGAUUUGCUUUCUGCCCACUCUGAAAAAGGUGAUGGAGAAGACAGAAUUGUGGGGGACAGGGCACCUUUCGUUUCAUUAGGAAUAGCCAUUAAAAUGUGUGAAAUGUGGAAUAUGCAUCACUGAAUGAGCACACAUAGUUCACAUCAAC